rnacentral:rRNA from 1 species
CCUACGGGAGGCAGCAGUGGGGAAUAUUGGGCAAUGGAGGAAACUCUGACCCAGCAACGCCGCGUGAAUGAUGAAGGUCUUCGGAUUGUAAAGUUCUUUUCUAAGGGAAGAAGAAAGUGACGGUACCUUAGGAAUAAGCCUCGGCUAACUACGUGCCAGCAGCCGCGGUAAUACGUAGGAGGCGAGCGUUAUCCGGAAUGACUGGGCGUAAAGGGGGCGUAGGUGGUUUGGCAAGUUAGUAGCGUAACUCCAAGGCUCAACCUUGGAACUACUACUAAAACUGUUGGGCUUGAGUGCAGGAGGGGCAACCGGAAUUCCUAGUGUAGCGGUGGAAUGCGUAGAUAUUAGGAGGAACACCAGUGGCGAAGGCGGGUUGCUAGACUGUAACCGACACUGAGGCACGAAAGCGUGGGGAGCAAACAGGAUUAGAUACCCCUGUAGUC